GAGUUUGAUCAUGGCUCAGAUUGAACGCUGGCGGCAGGCCUAACACAUGCAAGUCGAACGGUAACAGGAAGCAGCUUGCUGCUUCGCUGACGAGUGGCGGACGGGUGAGUAAUGUCUGGGAAGCUGCCUGAUGGAGGGGGAUAACUACUGGAAACGGUAGCUAAUACCGCAUAAUGUCGCAAGACCAAAGAGGGGGACCUUCGGGCCUCUUGCCAUCGGAUGUGCCCAGAUGGGAUUAGCUUGUUGGUGGGGUAACGGCUCACCAAGGCGACGAUCCCUAGCUGGUCUGAGAGGAUGACCAGCCACACUGGAACUGAGACACGGUCCAGACUCCUACGGGAGGCAGCAGUGGGGAAUAUUGCACAAUGGGCGCAAGCCUGAUGCAGCCAUGCCGCGUGUAUGAAGAAGGCCUUCGGGUUGUAAAGUACUUUCAGCGGGGAGGAAGGGAGUAAAGUUAAUACCUUUGCUCAUUGACGUUACCCGCAGAAGAAGCACCGGCUAACUCCGUGCCAGCAGCCGCGGUAAUACGGAGGGUGCAAGCGUUAAUCGGAAUUACUGGGCGUAAAGCGCACGCAGGCGGUUUGUUAAGUCAGAUGUGAAAUCCCCGGGCUCAACCUGGGAACUGCAUCUGAUACUGGCAAGCUUGAGUCUCGUAGAGGGGGGUAGAAUUCCAGGUGUAGCGGUGAAAUGCGUAGAGAUCUGGAGGAAUACCGGUGGCGAAGGCGGCCCCCUGGACGAAGACUGACGCUCAGGUGCGAAAGCGUGGGGAGCAAACAGGAUUAGAUACCCUGGUAGUCCACGCCGUAAACGAUGUCGACUUGGAGGUUGUGCCCUUGAGGCGUGGCUCCCGGAGCUAACGCGUUAAGUCGACCGCCUGGGGAGUACGGCCGCAAGGUUAAAACUCAAAUGAAUUGACGGGGGCCCGCACAAGCGGUGGAGCAUGUGGUUUAAUUCGAUGCAACGCGAAGAACCUUACCUGGUCUUGACAUCCACGGAAGUUUUCAGAAAUGAGAAUGUGCCUUCGGGAACCGUGAGACAGGUGCUGCAUGGCUGUCGUCAGCUCGUGUUGUGAAAUGUUGGGUUAAGUCCCGCAACGAGCGCAACCCUUAUCCUUUGUUGCCAGCGGUCCGGCCGGGAACUCAAAGGAGACUGCCAGUGAUAAACUGGAGGAAGGUGGGGAUGACGUCAAGUCAUCAUGGCCCUUACGACCAGGGCUACACACGUGCUACAAUGGCGCAUACAAAGAGAAGCGACCUCGCGAGAGCAAGCGGACCUCAUAAAGUGCGUCGUAGUCCGGAUUGGAGUCUGCAACUCGACUCCAUGAAGUCGGAAUCGCUAGUAAUCGUGGAUCAGAAUGCCACGGUGAAUACGUUCCCGGGCCUUGUACACACCGCCCGUCACACCAUGGGAGUGGGUUGCAAAAGAAGUAGGUAGCUUAACCUUCGGGAGGGCGCUUACCACUUUGUGAUUCGUGACUGGGGUGAAGUCGUAACAAGGUA
rnacentral:rRNA from 1 species